GAUAUACCGGUCGGGAUCUAAUCAGUACCACUACUCCCCCAAGGCUGUCAGAGAGCUCAGAAUGAUUGCAGAGGCACUUGAAGAAAAGGUGUUGAAGCCAUCAAAUCUACACGGCGCCCGCUGGCUUCCCUAUGUGCAUCGUGCAAUCAAGAUUGUUUGUGACAGCUAUCCUGUACUGAUCGCACAUUUUGAAGACAUGGCGUCUGUGGAGAGGUUCCCUAAGCCUUCAGCUGCAGUUCUCUGCAGGGCCAAACAGGUUCAGGCAGUGUGGUGUCGAUGAGAUGAGGGAGAUGGCCACGUUCUAUCAGGAGCUAUUGAGACAAGCUGGCAUUGAAGUCGAUGAGGUUUUAGCAGAGUACAACCACUACAAGAUCUUUGCCAAGGGACGAGCAGCAGUGCCAAUGAGGGAGCUCUUCAUGAGUGUCUUGCAGUCAGGUGUGAAUAUAGUGUACAAUGUGUGACAGAUUGGUAAAGUGCCAAGUUAUCUUAGGAGAAUUUUUAUAUAGAGCAGUUCAACAAUGUUCAUCUUUAAAUAUUAUUUAAAACAACAACUGGGAGUCAGGUGUGUGACAAA